rnacentral:rRNA from 1 species
UACGAAGGGGUCUAGCGUUGCUCGGAAUCACUGGGCGUAAAGGGUGCGUAGGCGGGUCUUUAAGUCAGGGGUGAAAUCCUGGAGCUCAACUCCAGAACUGCCUUUGAUACUGAGGAUCUUGAGUUCGGGAGAGGUGAGUGGAACUGCGAGUGUAGAGGUGAAAUUCGUAGAUAUUCGCAAGAACACCAGUGGCGAAGGCGGCUCACUGGCCCGAUACUGACGCUGAGGCACGAAAGCGUGGGGAGCAAACAGG